GUGUAUUUAUUGGUGACAUUAAGACGACACCAUCGCCUUAGUUUCAUUAUCAUAGUCAAGAGAUUAAAAAGUUUUCUUCAUACUUGGGGUCAUUUCCAUGACAUCAUCUAUCUUGUAUUUUUAUUAUUUUUAUUUUUGGAUAAUGCUAUGAAAAGGCUGGCAUUUAAUAUGCGUUUCCAUUUCAGACUUGCUAGUUGUGACCCCAGUCCUCCAGUUCUCCAACAAAAACCCUUCUAACCCAAAGUUUUUUGAAAAAUAAGCACGUGUCAGAGCUAGCCAGGAUACGUAAUGCAAGCCACUGCUGAGGACUUUUCUAGGAAGGUGUUGUUUGGGAUGGUGCUAAAACCUCACAGACUUCAGUUAGUGUUAGCGGGCUGGCUGCCCAUGCUAACAGGCCACAGCCUGGCCUUUCCCCUUGGGGCAAUCGAGGCAGCUAGAACUCCUGACUGCAGCGUGUUGUCUCAGUUUUGCUAUGAAUACAGUUUUAUUUCCUGUACAAUUCUUGUGUUUUGUUUUGUUUUGUUUUUUCUUUUAAAGCAAGUUAAAAUAAUGUGAGUAGUUUGCUUCAUUCUUUAUUAUUAUUGAGUGCCCCCUUCCAAAACCAGUCAGUGGUUUCAAGAUUAUCUGUUAAAAGAAGCAUUUAAUGCAGGUUUUUUUCUUUAACCCAUUCUGCAAGUCACCGGUGGUUCUUCCUGACCAUUUGCCUUACUAGAAUGCAUGAAGGUGCCAUGAGAUACAUAACCUCACAGAAGGAGGUUCCACCUCUCCUGUCAGCUGUUUUCAUGUUGCAUCUCUUUUCUCUGCUUUUGAAUGUCUUUCUCUUUUUUGCUAAUCUUCUGUUGUUUUUUUUUCUCUUUUUUCCCCUUUCUCUCUCUGUAGCUUUUUUUAAUCUGUCUUCGC
rnacentral:lncRNA from 1 species